GGGGAAUAUUGGACAAUGGGCGCAAGCCUGAUCCAGCAAUGCCGCGUGGGUGAAGACGGCCUGCGGGUUGUAAAGCCCUUUAGGCGGGGAGGAACGGUCGGCGGCGAACAACCGCCGGCGCUGACGUUACCCGCGGAAUAAGCACCGGCUAACUCCGUGCCAGCAGCCGCGGUAAUACGGAGGGUGCGAGCGUUAAUCGGAAUUACUGGGCGUAAAGCGUGCGUAGGCGGUUCGGUCAGUCAGCCGUGAAAGCCCCGGGCUCAACCUGGGAACAGCGGUUGAGACGGCCGGACUGGAGUGGGCUAGAGGAUCGUGGAAUUCCGGGUGUAGCGGUGAAAUGCGUAGAGAUCCGGAGGAACACCGAUGGCGAAGGCAGCGGUCUGGGGCCACACUGACGCUGAGGCACGAAAGCGUGGGGAGCAAAC
rnacentral:rRNA from 1 species